rnacentral:lncRNA from 1 species
GACUUAUUAGUAACAAGUAACAACCUGGAGAUGAACUGUUGAAGCAGAUAAACCAAUAGACUUUGGUUGGAGAAACAGGAACAUAUCCUGCGCGUAACCCUUUUCCAUAGAUGUAAUUCACCCGUGGUUGAAAAGGUUGUCCGUCUGAAUAGGAGGCAAGUCCACGGAAAGCACAAUGACCAACGAACUUUGGCUCAGAAAAUCCCAUCCACUUAGCUAUCGGUGAUCGAAUUCCGUCGCACCCUAUUACAAUCUGUUUAUACAUGGAAUCAAUUUGUUAAGACUUUUUAGGACUAAAGCUUCAGAAUUGGCUAUUAAUGUUUAUGUCUGUAAGAUCCUUUUGUGCAGUAUGUUUUCAUGGUCACAACCAAUCAUGUGGUUAGCUUAAUAGUAUGUUUUUUUUUUCAUCAGAAUCAUGUUUAAACACAGUUGGAACAGAAACCAAAUGUUUUGUCAACUGAGUUUGUAAAUACUAAUAAAAUCAUGGUUGAAUAAGUAACUUUCAACACCAAACACACCAUAAAUUACAAUGACUAACCUUUGCAACUAGUUUAGACCCAUCCAAGAAUUCCAAUAAGGUAUCCCCAUUUGGACUUGGUUCAAUCUUGACCAACCGUGAAGAAUAUUGAAUGCUAUCAGGAGGUAACUGAGCAGCCAAAGUUUCCAAAAGUACUCUCCUCUCCACUGCACGCACCUCUUGGCUGCACAAUACCCCUUAUGCAUUUCAUAAAUAUUCAACCAACAAUAGUGUAACAAUGACAAAACCAAUAACGUCCCACAAGUACAACUUGGAUGAUAAAAUGAUGCAUAGACUUCGGGGCCGUGAGUUCAAACGCACAAUUUCUCACUUCUUAACACUUAAUGUAUUCGAGUUUUGCCGCUAGACUCUUUGAAAGGAGAAAAAAACCAACAAUGACAAAACCAAUAGUGAAAAUAUCUAAGAUGAGAGACUAUUAUAUCAGGCACCAAUAUCUAAUAAUACACUAACACAUCAUAUAGUCGGUGUCGUGUACCCUUGUUGGUAUUUGACAACAUGUGUCAAAUACCAACGCAUCUUUAAUCAGAAGUGUCGGUGCUUCAUAGCUAUUAUCAAAGUUAAUAUGGACCGUAUAUAAUUACCUUUCAUCCUCUUCUUUGAAAUUGAAGGCACGUAGUUCUCUUCCAUCCUCAGACUUCACCACCAUCCUGUACAGCUGAUAUUAUGAACCAGCUCAAGCUCAGCUAAUAUAUGCAUUGUGCAACCAGGCAAGUGAUAAAAAUUAAAACUAACAAAUUAAGUUACCCUUGAAUUUCUAAAUAUUGAGUUCUGAGGUAAUUUGCUACUCCAAUGGAAUCAAGUACACUCCACCCAUUCUUGAAAAGGGUGAGUGAAGUUCCACCGGUUCGAAGUGACUCUGACUGCUCCAGCACAAGAGACCGAACACCAAGCCUGAGAAUUCAACAGAAGCGGGUACAAAUAAAAUGUUAGAAAAAACAUGAAAGUGAUGGUAGAAAAUGAAGAGAUUGAGAGCUAGAGUUGAAACCUGUGAAGGGAUAGAGCAGUUGCAAGGCCUGCAAUGCCACCACCCACAAUGACAACAUGUUCCUUUUGGACUGAAGAUUGAACCUUGAUUAAUUUGGAACUUCUGAGAGAUCCAAUUCUGGUAUGACAAGUUGGAGAUUUAAGAAUCAUAAAAGACGAGGUUGUUGUAGCCAUGGACAUGUUCAAUUCAGAUUGUGUUUGAUCGUAGCUACUAGCUACAGGUAGGUAUUACCGUUGAGUGGUGGCGAGAUUGUGUGCUGUGUGUUCAGCUUUGGGCCACAUAAACUAGUGGUAGUGAGUACGUUUUGUUUUGGAAAAUUACUGGCUUCUAUUUUUUUUUCCUAGCCACCUCAGAAAGAAGCCGUUGGGAUAAAAACUGAUUUAAAAAGUAAUUGAAUCAAAAAGUGUCAAACCACACUAAGAAAGAAAAAAAAGUCAAGCUAAUGAAACUUUUAAAAAUACAAAUCAAAUGUUUGUCAAUGUAAUAAACAUAUUUUUGAUAUUUGUGUAACGUGUGUUGGAGUCUAACACAAUUUAUAAUUUUCUUUUUUUGUUUAUAGACGAAGUGAUAAAUACUUUCUAAAACUCGUAUAUAGAAUUAGAUUAUGAGUUCAAUAUCAAAUCAAUAUAUCCGUCCUACAAUAUUGACAUUUUCGAUUGAGCUUGACCUUACAAAUAGAAUUUAUAAUUUGAUUAUUAAAAGGUUAUUUGUCGCGAAUGAAUUGCACACAAAUCUAUGACAAGCACAUCUAGCAUGUUUUCAUUGCAUCAUUAUUUAUUGACUUGUGUGUAUUUUGCCAAGAGUAGAGUUAUUUGAACAACUCUUUUAGUACAACCUUUGUGACAACCUUGUUAUUCUUUCUUCUCAUUGGUCAAUAACAAUGGAGAGAGAAAAAGGAAUAGAGAGAAUAAAAAAAUAAUGUAAGUAUGAGAGAGAAAGUUGUACAUAAGUUAUAUAAAAAUGAUUGUACAAAUAUUUUUUCUCUUCUGCCAAACCUUCAUGUUUCAUUCCAAAGACCUAACAAUGUAUUUUAAUUUGUUAGUUUUUUAUUUUGUUAUGAGUUCGUGAUUAUCCCGCAUGCUCUUUGACUAUUUGACAAUGAUGGGUGUAAUGGAAGAAAUUAAGGUGCGGUAGUGGAAUCGAUACACCACCAAAUUAAGUGGACGGUUUUGCUUUUGCAUAAAGUCCUAAAGAUGAUUAUGUUCCGUAAGAGGGAUCCUUUCCUCAAGUUAGCAAGUUUCAUGGGGUUUCCCUUAUUCAUGCUCUCUAACUAGUCAUUCUCAUUUGGACUUGGAAAGUUUAAUGUUUUUAAACUUAACGAGUUAUUCUUUAAGAAAGAUGUACAUAACCGCCAAAUAAUCUUUUCUUAUGUAAACUAUGGUAUUUUAUUUGUUUGUACGUAAUGCAAAUUAUUUUUUCCUUGUAAAUACUUCCCCUGCAGAUUGAGUAAUUUAAUGGAUCAUGUGCAUUGCAAUGUUGGCUCCCAAAGCCAUUCACAAAUUUAACUUAUUUGAUGAAAAUAGUUUAUAUAUUCAAGUGUACAUACGGUAGGGAAAAUAGUGAAAUUCCUUAACUCUUGACAUCACAACAAUGUCUUUCAUUGUGUCAACCUUGAUUUUCAUCUUUGUAGACUCUCGGUAGUAAAAUUAGUGUGCUCCAGCAAUGGACCAAGCCUUGCUAAGAUUAACAUGAGUGAUAUAUUAGUGUGCUCUCCGGAGGGGGACGGAUAUAUAAGUUUCAAUAUCAUAUACUCGGAAUUUUUUUAUCAUUGAAAUUAACAUGAGUGAUUAUUUUCGCAAGAACCAUACGCAUCUCAAAUAAAAUAUUUAUAAUGAAAUUGAGACUAUUACAAAUAAUGCUGAUGCAUUUAAUAAAAAAAUUAACUCAAAUGAAUUAUUUCAAACAUAAAAACAACUAUGUAUAUGUGUAAAAUUUUCGCCACCCUUAACUAUUUUUCCUGACUCUGUCCCUGACAAUAUUGUUUCUAACAUAACACACCAGUGGGUUGUCCGACUGCGAAAUCGAACCCACAAGGUUUGCCAGUAUGGUUAGUGGAAAUAUGCGCAACCAUCUUUCAUUGCCAUAUGAUCUAAAAGCGUCUUCGAUAGAAGUGUCGUCAUCAGAGUUAAUGGCUGCAGCAAGCUUUUUAGCAAGAACGACUGCAUCCUCUAGAGCACAACAUGCUCCUUGCCCAAUAUUUGGAGUCAUUGGGUGCCAAGCGUCUCCAACGAGUACAACUCUACCUCUAGAAACAGGUGGACUUAUCCAUGGCCAAAGCCAUCGAUCCAUCAACGGAGUCAAGACUAUAGUGUCAUCCGGCGUAGAAUCCAUUAUGUUUAGUAGCUCUGGAAGCCAGUUUUCUACAAGAUCCUUAGCUUGCUUCUUUAGCACCGAUGGCUCGGUUGUUUUAGGACCUACCAUUGAACUCAACUAUUUUUCAUUUGAACAAUAAACUAAGUAAUUUAACUGUAUAUGCAUGUAGUUAGAAGUAAGAACCUGGAGAUGAACUAUUGAAGGUGACAAACCAAUACACUUUGGUAGGAGAAACAGGAACAUAUCCUGCACGUAACCCUUUUCCAUAGAUGUAAUUCACCCGUAGCUCAAAAGGUUGUCCAUCUGAAUAGGAGGCAAGUCCACGGAAAGCACAAUAACCAACGUAAUUUGGCUCAGAAAAUCCCAUCCACUUAGCUAUCGGGGAUCGAAUGCCGUCGCACCCUAUUACAAUCUGUUGAGACAUGAAAUCAAUUUGUUAAUAGUUUUUAGGACCAGAGCUUCAUGAUUGGCCAUUAUGUUUGUAAGAUCCUUUUCUGCACUAUGUUUUUAGAGUCAUAACCAAUCAUAUAUGUGCUUAGCUU